rnacentral:rRNA from 1 species
AAUCCUGACUCAGGAUGAACGCUAGCGACAGGCUUAACACAUGCAAGUCGAGGGGCAGCACGGGGUAGCAAUACCCCGGUGGCGACCGGCGCACGGGUGAGUAACACGUGUGCAACCAACCCCGUACCGGGAGAUAACCCGCGGAAACGUGGACUAACACCCCAUAAUACCUUUCCCCCGCAUGGGGGGGAGUUUAAAACCCCGGUGGUACGGGACGGGCACGCGCGACAUUAGGUAGUUGGCGGGGUAACGGCCCACCAAGCCGACGAUGUCUAGGGGUUCUGAGAGGAA